rnacentral:sRNA from 12 species
UGCCUAUGAAGCGGCUGCUAUGUUGGUAUGUUGCCGUGGAGGUGCUAUUAGGGUUGUGUGGAAUCCAAGUUCCAACUUAGGUUUAAUCAAAAAGCUGAAAACAAAAACACUCAAA